CCUGAGUUCACUGAAUGAGCUUGGCAUGUGCUGGCUGUGCUCGGAUCAUCUCUCUGAGUACUUACCUGAUCUCAGAUUCAUUCCUCACACCCAAGCAUGAUGCAUGUUCCUGCCCGGUGCACAGUUCUCAUUGGCAGCCAUCCAUUAACGUUUACUAUCAGCGUGGCCAUUUGGGACCUGUAGUUGUCACUGGCUGAAACAUAAACAAGGAAAUGUGGAAAUGGCCUGCUAUAACAUGGUGAAGAAAAGCAGUGUUUGCGCUUGAUCAAUAAUACGGAGCCACCAAACAGUCCUCGUGUACUUUUGUACAUAAUGCCACAGCAUCAAUAGAAACAGAACUGCUCAGGGUUAUUCAUUAAAAAAAUUAUUUGAAUGUCCAUAAUAGUUAUUAUUAUAGCCAACAGCCAACAUCUAGCCUAUAUUGUCUAAGCAUAUUGGAUGCCACAAUAAACUGAACAUCCUUGCCUUCAUAAAGAAAUCUAGCAGGUUUUACAGCUCUUUAAAGCACUGCACAGGACCAGACAACAAGUUUUUAGAAAUGAUGCCAGAGCAUUAGAAGCCAGAAUAAAGAUAAAUGAAGAAUUCAAAAAUAAUAAAAGUGAAACUUCUCCUAAGAAAAUAGAAGAGCUAAUGAAAAUAGGUUCUGAUGUUGAAUUGCUACUCAGAACAUCUGUUAUACAAGGUAUUCACACUGGCCACAAUACACUGAAACUGGUCCCUAGGAAAGACCUUUUUAUAGAAAAUGUGCCAUAUUGUGACACACCAACUCAGAAGCAAUGAGUUUUCUAGGAUAAAAUAAGUCUUUGCACUUUUUAACAUUAAAUUCUAUAACACUGGCAAAGUCCUGGAAAUGUAGACAUCUUUCUCUGAACUGGCAUAUUGAAGAUGAAUGAAUUACAGAAUAACUUCAUAUUUAAAUUUCAUGUUGAAAGGUCAUUACUGAGAACUGAAGAACAUAAUUACAUAUUUCUAAAGGAAAUUAGAUAAGAAAACAUUUCAUUUUCAUUGAAAAUCAAAUGCCAUAAAGCAAAAUAAAUGCUUAGGGAGAUAUAUUCUCUUCUCUCUGACCUUGAUGAAUAUUUGGUCUUGCCAUAGCUAUUUGACAAUGUGGUGUUUUUAUAAGUUGGUCAGUUUUUUUCCCAUAUGAAAUGCAAUUAUUAGAUUUAAAUUAUUAGAUUAAACUGAUAUUUAGUCCUGAAAAAUAUUAAAUUGUUCCAAAAAAAAUCACAGUGUGUGCCAGCUCUCUGCAGAAGUGGCCUUUGUUUUCUAAAGCACUGGGAUUUUUUCUGCAGCUAAUAUGUAAUUGUACAGUUUCUUUUUGGAGAUACAGAGUAUCUCUGUAUUCUUAUAAAAACAUUUUUAUCAGUCUUCUGAAAAUAGUUGAAUAAAAUAUUAAAAUCACCUAGGGUCACUAUGAAAUAAAGAAAUCCUAAUUUAAAGUGGAAAUAGUGACCCUUGAUUAAACUAUUUAAUAUGGCUGUAGUAGAAUUAGCUGUAUUUAGACGAAGUUAGACUUUCUUGUGAAAUGUAAUAGAUGGCUACAUUCUCUUUGUUUUAAUUAAUGAAACUUAAAUGUCCUCUCUUCUUCCACAUGUCCUGUCCUUGACAAGAUGGGCAGUAUCACAAAGGGCCAGGCAUUCUAUCAUCUAACACUAGGAACUGUAAAAUCCUGUUUAAUAUUUUUCUUGUUUCUCUUUUAUCUGUAUAUCUUUGCCAUUCUGUUUUCUCAGUUAAUAGUAUGUUUUCUCCCAUUCACUGAUAAAUUAUCUCAUUUGAUGAUGAUA